AAUCGGUGUGUAACCUUAACUAAGUAUAUACAUACUAAGUGUGUAAUAUAUAUUUAUAAAAUAUAAUAUACUGCUAUAAAAACAUACUAAAUAUAAAUAGAAAAAACUAACUAACAUAACAACAUUCUGAACGAAUGUGAAUGGAAGUGACACUUGACGUGCUUCACAAAAUUCUAUAAUUAGCUAUGGUCAAAGCCCACACAAUGCAAACUAUAAACUAUUUACGAAUUACGUAAUGGCGACGAGUGCUUAUCAACAAUUAUUAUGCAAGGCAUCAUUGUGUUCAAAUUGUGGAAAUGAGUGUCUGAAAUGGUGUUAUGAAAGAAAAAUAAAAUAAAAUAACGAACAUGAAUUUGUGUAAAGGAUACGUAUUAAGUGUGAACGAGUAUGUAGGUCGAUCGUAAUCCUGCUACCAGGAUGGCGUAGACAAAAAUAGAGGAAAUGACAGAGAGAUGAGGAAAAAAAGUUUGACCAGAGCAGAUGCUCCUCCAUACCGAAGAGGAUGAUUCAAAAGCAGCCCACACCGCAGGAAGUGAUCCCCAAACCAAAGCAUGUGUGCCAUGAAACCUAAGGCAUCGAAAUGGGGGAGGGAGAUCAUUCCAGCAGCGCGUAGCUGCAAACUUGAAACAUCCUCUGAAAGCCGUAGUGCGAUGCGUGGGAACGGUCAGCGGACACACUAUGGAGCGAAGACCAUGCUUUAUCUGGCUUUGUUUCCAGGUCAGCUUUUUGAAAAGAUAUUCUGGUGUUUGAGCCCUAACAGUACCAAACAACAGAUUGGCCAAAUGAAGUUUUCUCCUGGCAGCCAUCUUUAAUAAUUUUAGUUCAUUAAUGUAUGGGGUAACAUGACUUCUACGUGGAAUAUUUAUACAAUAACGAACACAGGCAUUUUGAAUACGUUGGAUAACGCGCUCGGUUCUAGAGAGAAGACAUGGACCAUACACUAUAUCACAAUAGUUUAACUUCGAUAGGACGAGGCUGUCAACAAGUUGUUUGCGCAAAGGAAUGCUCAAAUAUUUCCGUAUACCAUAUAAUACCUUUAGCCUAUAAAAACAACUUCCUAGGAUUCUUGUUAUGUGUGACUCGAAGCGUAGCUCCGGGUCCAUAGUCAGGCCCAGAUUGCAUGCUUGCUCAACCCUCUCGAUUCUCUCUCCCAUGAUCACUAUCUCAGGGUUAGCUGACUGAAUAGCUAGAACUUGGUUUCUGGAACCCAGAAUCAUAAAUUUAGAUUUGAGCGGGUUAAGGACCAGUGAGUUCAUCUCCGACCAUACAACCACCCUAUGCAAAUCCUCAUUGAUUUUCUGCACCGCCUCCUAUGUUUCAUCGACCUUGAACGACAAGUACAGCUGUAUAUCGUCAGCGUACAUGUGAUAUUUGCAAUGGGUGAAAGACUUUACAAUAUCCGCACUGUAUAAGAUGUAAAGCAAGGGCCCCAAAAUCGAUCCCUGGGGAACGCCCCUGGACACGCUUAGGGGGGAGGAUGAUACUCUGGACCCAUCCUCUCUUUGCAUCUCUACAAAUUGAAAUCGGCCCGAAAGAUAGCUUUUAAACCACUCCACCGUAUUCUUAUCGAAACCAUAGAAAGCUAACUUUGACAGAAGUAGAGCGGUGUUAAUUGCAUCAAAAGCGCGGGAAAAAUCUAACAGAGCCAAAUUUGUACCCUCCCCCCUGUCACGUGCCUCAAGAAUAUUCCCCACUACGUCGGCCAGAGCCGUUGCAGUACCUCUGCCCUGCCUAAAGCCCGAUUGUAGGUCCGGAAGAAUUUUAUUAGCUUCAAGGUACUCAAUGACCUGCGAGUGCACUACGCGUUCCAGUAUCUUAGAAAGGCAGGGCAGUAUACUGAUUGGCCUUAGGUCCUUUGUGUUAUUUGGGUUGUUAAUUUUAGGGAUCGGUCGCACAAAGGCGCAUCGCCAGAGUUCAGGGAAUGUGUGUGUAAUGAUUGAACAAUUUAUGAUAUCUGUGAUGGCUUGCAAGGUAGUUGGUAAUGUGAGGUUUAUCAUGUCGAGACUGAUGCCAUCAACUCCCUGUGCGUUAGACCCUAGGCUUCUAAUUAUCUUGAGGAUUGCUUCGGAAGUGGUUGCUGUCAAGGUGAAAGUAGCAUCGCUGAACCUAUGCGACUCAAAGAAAUAUGACUGCGAAUCAUUAAGACUACAAUCACCGGGAACAUCUAGAAACGCCGCAUUGAUUUCGUCAGGGUUAUCAAAGUAUUCCGGUAGAAGUCUAUGUUUGUGGUCAGGCAACACAUCUGCUUUUAAAUUGCGCCAUAACAAUUUAGGGUCCCUGAUAUUAUUAUUAAUGCUACUAGCGAAAUAAGCGGUCUUCUCGUUAGCCAGUGCCGUGAUGGCUAGAUGCUUAAGGUCCAGGUAAUUAGUCUUAUGUUCAGGUAGCUUUGAAUUACGAAAUUUGUCCCUGGCCUCAUCUCUCAGCUUCGAUAUUAGUCUGAUGUUAUCAGUGAUCCAUGGAGUGGGACGGGAUCUAAAAGUUCUACAUAUAGUGGGAGCAUGGAGGUCGAACAAUUGAAUAACAAAUGAGUUGAAAGUUUGCACCAUUGAAUCAACAUCUUUCAUGUCACUCACUGUAGACCAAGGUAUACUUUUUAAAUCGCUGUCGAAGUAAUCCUGCAGAAUGUCCUUGAGAGGGCGAUAAACCACUGAUCUAGGUCGGCAUUUAGGUUUCUUGAAGACCGACUCGCAGGUGAUAAAUGCAUGAUGGCUAAGCUCACUUAUAUGAUUCACCUCAACAUUGCGGAUUGGAGCAUCAGUGCAGAUUACGUCAAUGAGCGAGCUACUAUUGCCUAUUAAGUGCGUGGGAGUUGUGACCACUUGAGUCAAGUUGAGAUAACUGAGAAAAUCUGCAAGUUGUCUGGAUUUCGAGUUACUAACGUCCAACAUAUUGACAUUGAAGUCUCCUAAUAGUAUUAGAUUUUAGACAAUGGUCGCGGGAUGUGCUUAAGUUUAUAACCAGGUACACUAGGCGCCCGGUCAUCUUCACCUUUGCGCAACCAGGUUUCGUUGACAGCCAUUAUGUCCACUGAAUGAUUGCCCAUUGCGACCAAAAACUCGUCCUGGUUAGUCCCCAGGGAGCCUGCAUUCAAUAGACCAAACCUAAUACGUUUAUUUGUAAUCAUUUGUAAUCAAAUAGUAACAAUGUUGUAGUAUUGUAGUUGUAAAUGUAAAUAAAAUUUGAAAAAUGUUGUAUAUAAUGUAAAUAUUAUUUGUAUAAAGUUGUAUGUAGUGAGUUGUAGUAUUGUAUUGUUGUUUUAUAAUGUAAAUAUUGUUUAUAUAAAGUGAUGUUGUAUGUAAUGAGUGUGGACAAAUACAUUGAGUAAGGUAUGGUAAUUUAUAUGGGAAGCGUGGAAAAAU
rnacentral:lncRNA from 1 species